rnacentral:lncRNA from 1 species
CACUCACACACUCAGACUAUAGUGUCAAUUCCCGUACCACAGAAUGAUCAAAAAGGAGGGAGAGUAAAGGUUAGAGGGAGAACUCCAGGACACCUUCUGGAGCAGAGAGCAGGGGUGGACCCUAAUCCAAUGACUGGUGUCUUUGUUAGAAGAGAGAAAUUUGGACACAAGGAUACAGACACAGAGGGAGGACGGCCAUGCGAAGACAGAGGCAGAGAUUGAAAUUAUGCUUCCGCAAGCCAAGGAACACCACGGACUCUGGGAACCACCAGAAGAAGCUGGAAGGGACAAGGAAGGAUUCUUCCCUAGAGCCUUCGGAGACAGCAUGGGCGUGCUGACACCCUGGUUUCAGAUUUCUAGCCUCCAGGACUGUGAGAGAAUAAAUUUCUGUUAUUUUAAGCCACCAGUUCAUGGUACUUCGUUCUGGCAGCCCUGGGAAACCAACACUGUAACCUAGUGCUGUGUUUUCCACAGCUGGGAGCCCCAAGG